rnacentral:rRNA from 1 species
GACGAACGCUGGCGGCGUGCUUAUCACAUGCAAGUCGAGCGAUGAAAUCCCUUCGGGGAUGGAUUAGCGGCGGACGGGUGAGUAACACGUGGGUAACCUGCCUCAAAGAGGGGGAUAGCCUCCCGAAAGGGAGAUUAAUACCGCAUAAUAUUCGUUUUUCGCAUGAAGAACUAAUUAAAGGAGUAAUCCGCUUUGAGAUGGACCCGCGGCGCAUUAGCUAGUUGGUGAGGUAACGGCUCACCAAGGCGACGAUGCGUAGCCGAACUGAGAGGGUGAUCGGCCACAUUGGAACUGAGACACGGUCCAGACUCCUACGGGAGGCAGCAGUGGGGAAUAUUGCACAAUGGGCGAAAGCCUGAUGCAGCAACGCCGCGUGAGUGAUGAAGGCCUUCGGGUUGUAAAGCUCUGUCUUUGGGGACGAUAAUGACGGUACCCAAGGAGGAAGCCUCGGCUAACUACGUGCCAGCCGCCGCAGUAA